UACCAGCACCCCGAGUGGUCGGGACGAUUAUUGGGCCUAAAGCAUCCGUAGCCGGCCUUACAAGUCCUCCGUUAAAUCCAGCUGCUUAACAGAUGGGCUGCGGAGGAUACUAGAAGACUAGGAGGCAGGAGAGGCAAGCGGUACUCAGUGGGUAGGGGUAAAAUGCGUUGAUCCAUUGAAGACCACCAGUGGCGAAGGCGGCUUGCCAGAAUGCGCUCGACGGUGAGGGAUGAAAGCUGGGGGAGCAAACCGG
rnacentral:rRNA from 1 species